ACUCAUGUAGUUUAAAUAAAACAUUAUAUUUUCAAUAUAAAAUUAAUAUUAAUUCAUAAGUA
rnacentral:tRNA from 1 species